rnacentral:rRNA from 1 species
AUACGUAGGUGGCAAGCGUUGUCCGGAAUUAUUGGGCGUAAAGCGCAUGUAGGCGGUGCCUUAAGUCUGCCGUGAAACUGCGGGGCCUAACCCCGUAUGGCGAUGGAAACUGGGGUACUUGAGUGCAGGAGAGGAAAGGGGAACUCCCAGUGUAGCGGUGAAAUGCGUAGAUAUUGGGAAGAACACCGGUGGCGAAGGCGCCUUUCUGGACUGUGUCUGACGCUGAGAUGGGAAAGCCAGGGUAGCGAACGGGAUUAGAUACCCCGGUAGUCCUGGCCGUAAACGAUGGGUACUAGGUGUGGGAGGUAUCGACCCCUUCCGUGCCGGAGUUAACGCAAUAAGUACCCCGCCUGGGGAGUACGGCCGCAAGGCUUAAACUCAAAUGAAUUGACGGGG